UGCUGGAGCGAAUAGAAGUGAGCAUGCAGGCAUGAGUAGCGAUAAUUAAUGUGAGAAUCAUUAACGCCGUAAACCCAAGGUUUCCUACGCGAUGCUCGUCAUCGUAGGGUUAGUCGGGUCCUAAGUCGAGUCCGAAAGGGGUAGACGAUGGCAAAUUGGUUAAUAUUCCAAUACCAACAUUAGUGUGCGAUGGAAGGACGCUUAGGGCUAAGGGGGCUAGCGGAUGGAAGUGCUAGUCUAAGGUCGUAGGAGGUUAUACAGGCAAAUCCGUAUAACAAUACUCCGAGAACUGAAAGGCUUUUUGAAGUCUUCGGAUGGAUAGAAGAACCCCUGAUGCCAUCGAGCCAAGAAAAGUUUCUAAGUUUAGCUAAUGUUGCCCGUACCGUAAACCGACACAGGUGGGUGGGAUGAGUAUUCUAAGGCGCGUGGAAGAACUCUCUUUAAGGAACUCUGCAAAAUAGCACCGUAUCUUCGGUAUAAGGUGUGGUUAGCUUUGUAUUAGGAUUUACUCCGAAAGCAAGGAAACUUACAACAAAGAGUCCCUCCCGACUGUUUACCAAAAACACAGCACUCUGCUAACUCGUAAGAGGAUGUAUAGGGUGUGACGCCUGCCCGGUGCUCGAAGGUUAAUUGAUGGGGUUAGCAUUAGCGAAGCUCUUGAUCGAAGCCCGAGUAAACGGCGGCCGUAACUAUAACGGUCCUAAGGUAGCGAAAUUCCUUGUCGGUUAAAUACCGACCUGCAUGAAUGGCGUAACGAGAUGGGAGCUGUCUCAAAGAGGGAUCCAGUGAAAUUGUAGUGGAGGUGAAAAUUCCUCCUACCCGCGGCAAGACGGAAAGACCCCGUGGACCUUUACUACAGCUUGACACUGCUACUUGGAUAAGAAUGUGCAGGAUAGGUGGGAGGCUUUGAGUAUAUGACGCCAGUUGUAUAUGAGCCAUUGUUGAGAUACCACUCUUUCUUAUUUGGGUAGCUAACCAGCUUGAGUUAUCCUCAAGUGGGACAAUGUCUGGUGGGUAGUUUGACUGGGGCGGUCGCCUCCCAAAUAAUAACGGAGGCUUACAAAGGUUGGCUCAGAACGGUUGGAAAUCGUUCGUAGAGUAUAAAGGUAUAAGCCAGCUUAACUGCAAGACAUACAAGUCAAGCAGAGACGAAAGUCGGUCUUAGUGAUCCGGUGGUUCUGUGUGGAAGGGCCAUCGCUCAAAGGAUAAAAGGUACCCCGGGGAUAACAGGCUGAUCUCCCCCAAGAGCUCACAUCGACGGGGAGGUUUGGCACCUCGAUGUCGGCUCAUCGCAUCCUGGGGCUGGAGCAGGUCCCAAGGGUAUGGCUGUUCGCCAUUUAAAGCGGUACGCGAGCUGGGUUCAGAACGUCGUGAGACAGUUCGGUCCCUAUCUGCCGUGGGCGUAAGAAGAUUGAAGAGAUUUGACCCUAGUACGAGAGGACCGGGUUGAACAAACCACUGGUGUAGCUGUUGUUCUGCCAAGAGCAUCGCAGCGUAGCUAAGUUUGGAAAGGAUAAACGCUGAAAGCAUCUAAGCGUGAAGCCAACUCUAAGAUGAAUCUUCUCUAAGCUCUCUAGAAGACUACUAGUUUGAUAGGCUGGGUGUGUAAUGGAUGAAAGUCCUUUAGCUGACCAGUACUAAUAGAGCGUUUGGCUUAUCUUUAAUAAAGCAU
rnacentral:rRNA from 1 species